rnacentral:sRNA from 1 species
CUUAUUUCUACUACAUCUUUACUUAUACUCAGUUACAUAGUAUGACUAUAAGCUCAUCUUAAAUAUACUUCUUCAUGAUGCAUACUUUAAGCAUCUGCUCUAUCUUGUAAGCUCUACUAAAUAUUCUUAUUAUUUAUCUUAGACUGCUGCUGUAGCUAUUGCUAGUCAUUCUAGAUAUUUCUUUUGAUGUUAUAUUGUAAUCUGUGAUAGUGGCACUAUCUUCUGACUCAGUGAACAAGCUCAACAACACUAUAUAAGCCUCAAUCUUAUCUUAUAUUCAGUGAGAAGCUUGCUGAGUUAGAGACUCAGUAGCAACAUUGAUUAUCUCUAAUUCA